rnacentral:other from 1 species
AAUACCCUGCUGUGUUCGUGAUUGAUGAGAUGCCCUUUGACCCAAUGUAGUGAAUUAAGGGAACCCUUCCUCAAAGCUGGUGUGCAUGUUCCGAAUUUUCGGAAAAGCCUGAAGGCUUCAUAGGGUGCCCACCUGAACCUUACGGUUCAAAGGUUUUUUUUCAACACGGCACUAGCGGGGAUCU